rnacentral:rRNA from 1 species
AGCUCCAAUAGCGUAUAUUAAAGUUGUUGCAGUUAAAAAGCUCGUAGUUGGAGUUCAGAGUGAGCUCAGCCGGUCCGCCUCAUGGGUGAGUACUGGUCGACUCUCUCUUGUUUGUGGAUCCCGCCCGGAGUUAAUUCUUCGGGAUGUGGAGUUCACAUCGUUUACCUUGAAAAAAUUAGAGUGUUCAAAGCAGGCGUUUGCUUGAAUAUAUUAGCAUGGAAUAAUGGAAUAGGACCCUGGUUCUAUUUUGUUGGUUUUGAGAACCAGAGUAAUGAUUAAUAGGGAUAGUUGGGGGCAUUCAUAUUUCAUUGUCAGAGGUGAAAUUCUUGGAUUUAUGAAAGAUGAACUUCUGCGAAAGCAUUUGCCAAGGAUGUUUUCAUUAAUCAAGAACGAAAGUACG